UGGGGAAUCUUGCGCAAUGGGCGGAAGCCUGACGCAGCAACGCCGCGUGAGGGAUGACGGCCUUCGGGUUGUAAACCUCUUUCGCGAUCGACGAAGCUCCAUCUUCUGGGUGGGGUGACGGUAGGUCGAGAAGAAGCACCGGCCAACUACGUGCCAGCAGCCGCGGUAAUACGUAGGGUGCGAGCGUUGUCCGGAAUUAUUGGGCGUAAAGAGCUCGUAGGCGGUGUGUCGCGUCGGCCGUGAAAACCUGGGGCUUAACUCUGGGCGUGCGGUCGAUACGGGCAUCACUAGAGUUCGGCAGGGGAGACUGGAAUUCCUGGUGUAGCGGUGAAAUGCGCAGAUAUCAGGAGGAACACCGGUGGCGAAGGCGGGUCUCUGGGCCGAUACUGACGCUGAGGAGCGAAAGCAUGGGUAGCGAACAGG
rnacentral:rRNA from 1 species